UACGGGGGGAGCAAGCGUUGUUCGGAUUUACUGGGCGUAAAGGGCGCGUAGGCGGUCGUGACAAGUCACUUGUGAAAUCUCCUGGCUUACCUGGGAGGGUGGUAGCCAGACGGUGGCGCUUGAGGGUCGGAGAGGGGCGUGGAAUUCCGGGUGGAGCGGUGAAAUGCGUAGAGAUCCGGAGGAACACCGACGGCGUAGGCAGCGCCCUGGACGACACCUGACGCUGAGGCACGAAAGCUGGGGGAGCGAACAGG
rnacentral:rRNA from 1 species